rnacentral:rRNA from 1 species
AGGGAAUUUUCGGCAAUGGGGGAAACCCUGACCGAGCAAUGCCGCGUGAACGAUGAAGAUCUUCGGAUUGUAAAGUUCUGUUAUCGGGAAAGAAUAGCGAAGCGAGGAAAUGCGCUUUGUAUGACGGUACCCGAUGAGAAAGCCCCGGCUAACUAUGUGCCAGCAGCCGCGGUAAUACAUAGGGGGCAAGCGUUAUCCGGAAUUAUUGGGCGUAAAGCGUGUGUAGGCGGUCUAUUAAGUCUGGCGUGAAAUUCCACAGCUUAACUGUGGAGGGUCGUUGGAAACUGGUAGGCUUGAGUACGGCAGAGGUAAGUGGAAUUCCAAGUGGAGCGGUGGAAUGCGUAGAUAUUUGGAGGAACACCAGUGGCGAAGGCGGCUUACUGGGCCGGAACUGACGCUGAGACACGAAAGCGUGGGGAGCAAAC